CCUACCUUCGGGUAAGAUGAUGAAUUUCUCAAGAACAUUAUUUUUUAUUUUGUAAACAAAACAGUUCAGAUUUUUGAAUACUAUAUUAGUAUUAGUGUACAUUCAAUGUCGAGCUGAAAUUUUUUUUUCUGUUAAUAUCGUGAAUGAUUCUGUGCAGAUGCGAUACUCUUCUCAGUGUAUAAUCUCACUCUCUCAAAAAAGAACCAUUUCGAUCUAUUUAAUAGUGAGGUCACAUUAAAUAUAUUGCCGUAAAUAACACUGAAUUCAAAUUUGAAAAUCCUCCCUGAAUUAACAGAUAUAUCACACAUUAUUAAUAAUGAUGAUCGUUAAAAUGAGUAUAAUUAUUGAACAAAGUAACAACAGAUCACUUCCGACCACAAAUCCAUAUAGUUUCACAUAAAUGAAAAAAUUAAGUUCAAUAGUCCAUAACAAUGUCCGCUUUCACAAUCGUUUUAUAUUAGUAUCUACAAAAAGAUAACUUUCUUGUCAAUUUCAUGCUUCAGAACAAACCUAUGUUUUCUCCGAAUCAAAUAAGUUUUGCAAUUCCUAUAUAAAUACGGAACAAGGAAGUAUCUUACAGACAGUUCAGAGAAAUUAUUAUACAAAACUAUACAAGAUGGCAAGGAUCCUGUCCCAGAUUUUUUUUCUCGUAACUCUGUUUGCGAUCACGAUAUCAUACCCACUUAAUCAUGAUUUGGAAGCAGCUGCAACUGGAGAUGGUCACCAUGGGAGGGUUCAAAUCAAAGUUUACAGAGGACCUACAGAACACAGUGGACAUGAUUCUUUUGCACCUUGGGGGUAUUGGUCGAAGCAACCUGCAGAUCAUUAGUUAUUUAUUAGCAUUAUGUUACAAAUUCAUUUUAUAAUAAUGAGGGUAUAUCUAUGAGUGAGCGUUUGUUUAGAUCCUGCUCAAUUUGGAGAUAAGAUUAUAUUUAUUAUUUGUUUUGCUGGAGCUGAGUGAUAUAAAAUAGUAGUUUAAAUAUAUAUUUUUUCUUA